GGACCCGUAGCUCAGCCAGGACAGAGCGCUGGCCUCCUAAGCCAGUGGUCGGGGGUUCGAAUCCCCCGGGUCCGCCA
rnacentral:tRNA from 1 species